GAAAAAUGGCGGAACUGCUAUUGUGCUGACACUGAGGACGGGGACGAAGACAAUGUGGUCAAUGGUAAUAUUGCCGGAAAAGCCCUAGAAAAUUUGGGUGAAGCUUAAUUCUUCUCGACUUCAAUCUUUAUUAUCAUCAUUAUCAUCAUCAUAAUCAUCAGCAGCAGCAGCAGUAGCAGUAGCGGCGGCGAUAUCAUCUCUUCUUCUUCUUCUUCUUAAGAUUGUCUAUGAUUCAUCAGAAAUUUGCUUGCGUAAGGCAUAAAGAGACAAUUGCAAGCAUUCUAGCACCUUGCUUGAAAUUCUUGUUUUGGGCCAGACUUCGUUUUGCAAAUAGCUAUGCUCAAUUGUCAUCACCAUUAAAGAUAAGAGGGAGUUUUUUUUUUUGGCCGUUUUGCUAUUCGAUAAAAUGCCUAACGGAAAAUCCUUCGGCGCUUUGUUUGGGAGUACGGAUUUUAGGGCUUCGGAUUUGUCCUUUUACAGGUCCUUAUUUGCACUUGUGAGCGGUUGGGUUCACAGCAAUCUUGUUUGGCUUGGGUUUAUAGCGAAGUUUGACGAUCUUUGGAUCAGCUGUCGAUGUUCGAGGAUGGGUUACUGCCCUGUUGGUUGAUUUAACUGCUGUUUGAGCACUUUAUAUUAAGCAGCAACUUUUGAUCAUCCUUGACUACUACAAGUGAGCAGCAGAUCUGCUGUAGCAGAGACGACGGAGAAUAGCUGAGACGCAGGAGAAGAUUGCGGCGAAGGAUUCGGAACAACAAAUACCAAAGAGAUUGGCGAUGAAGCGUGGUUGCGACAGUGACGGUGGUGAUCUGGUCACUAGUGAUCGUCUUUGCGUUGCGCUGUUGCAGAGAUCGGGAGCCGCUGUGAUCGUAAACUGAUUCCAGAACACCUUUGCUGAUGAGUUUGGCUCGGGUUUAUAGCUCAGUUCGACGAUCUUUGGACCAGCUGUCAAUGUUUGACGAUGGGUUACUGCCCUGUUGGUUGAUUUAACUGCUGUUUGAGCACUUUAUAUUAAGCAGCAACUUUUGAUCAUCCUUGACUACUAUAAGGUAGAAUACAUUUCUGACAUUUUUCCAUUUGAAUAUUAUCUUAGAAAGCAUGCUAUUGAUUCUUGCUAUCUUCCCAGUAUCAUUCUGCAUGUAAUAUUUCUUCGUUCCUAAAAGAGUUGAAAUGUACCAGCCUUUUCCAGAAGGCACAUACCAA